GGCAUGACUGUCCUAGACGGAACCCAUCUUAGAUCGCUUCAGGUGUCCUUGCCGGACUCCGACGUCACUCUCACCGGAGCUCAGGUCCUCGAUUUCGCUGAAUCCAAAGCCUCUGAUUCCCUCUUUGGUCUUUCAUUGCCUCAGUGUCUCAAGUCCUCCGCUCUCCAUCGCGUCAACGUCGAUGAUGACAUCAGUUUCCGGCGUUCGGAACUCACCAGAGAAGCUGCAACGUCCAAGCUCAAUGACUAUCUCACUGCUAUAGCUGAUGAACUAAAAGAUAAUCCAUUAGUGGUGUCGAUUUUGGAUGGCUGCGGCUGUUUUUGGAGGACGAAGACGAUUUUGCAAUGUUAGCGGAGAAUAUAUUCACUGAUUUGGAUACGAAGGACAAGGGAAAGAUCAGCAAGGGAGAGCUAAGGAAUGCUCUUGUUCACAUGGGAGUUGAAAUGGGUAUUCCUCCUUUCGAAGAAUUUCCUCUGCUAAAUGACAUCUUAAAGAAGCAUGGAGCAGAGGGAGAAGAAGAAUUGGGCCAAUCACAAUUUGCUGAGUUACUUCAGCCUAUUCUACAAGAAGUUGCGGAU
rnacentral:misc_RNA from 1 species